rnacentral:rRNA from 1 species
GGUCUCGGACUGGGCUCCACUCGCCAUCACUCCAGCGAUGGGGGGCGGUGGACUCGCCGUGACGAGCCGGAAAGAUGUCCAAACUUGAUCAUUUAGAGGAAGUAAAAGUCGUAACAAGGUUUCCGUAGGUG